CUCAUGCCGCCAUGUAUGUAAAUUCGUAUUUCAAUUAAUUGCAUUUUUAACCAUGUAUUUAUGGAAAUUGAAUUUACGGCAUGAGAAUUGGAAUUAGAGACUAACAUUAGCAUUUUUAAACAAAGUGAAUGUAAAAUGCCUAGUAAAUUAUAUAUCUUGAAGCAAUUUUAGAUGCUAAUCACACUCCCCAACCAAGAUAUUGCUAGUCUCUAGCAAUAAAAAUUCAAAAAUAGUUCCAAUGAAAUAGCUCGUCCCAUUUGCCAUAAGAUUUGAAAUUGCUUAUCAAAAUUCUUCUACGGUUUGCUACCAAAAUAUAGUCUAACUUGUCCAAUGCUCGACCAACAUGUGUGUGUGCAUAAUCAAUUCAAUCACAUACUUUUUUCAAAUUGGACUCAUCCCGACCCUCAAUGGUCAAUUAUUUCGCUCUUCGCUCGUUGGAUGCACACCCUCAAACUUGAUUUUGUAACUAUUUUCCCAAGGUGUAGUGUAUGGUUAAAUUUAUAUACUAUUACUUACCAUCUCUAGUUUGGUUAGAUUUUACUAAUUGUAGCUCAACACAUCAAUAAAUGAGGAUUCUCCUUAAUUUUGAUCGAUACAACCUCCAAGAAUCAACUAAGCUACUAAUCCCUUAUCAAAGGUUUAAUUCUCUAAAAUAAGUGUUUGGAACUUAAUCAAAGCAUGUAGUGCGUCUUCUGUUUCAUGCACUUGCUUUUUUCAAGUUUGCCGUGCAUAUUCUGUUUCAUGCACUAGUCUAUCUCUUUUUAUGUAUAUAAUUGUCCUCAUUGGGCUCUUUUAGGGUAGCUUCACAACAUGACACCUUUUUCCCUUCUAUGCAAUGAUUAGUGCAAUGCCCCUCAUUAAACACUUAUUCUCAAAAAUCGAUCUUUAACUUAAGAUUUUCACCUAAUUAUCAUCUCAUUGGUCUUAAGCAAUUCACACAAAAUUUAACACACAUGGAAUCCACAUCCAUCUCAAUGUCUCCCCACAACAGCUCAACCACCCCCAAACUAUCCUAUAAUUGGUUUAGCUGAAUUUUUUUGUUUUUGGUCAUAGUUAAUUCUACAUAUUCUAUCCAUUGAUCCAAUCUAAAUAAUAUGUGAUUUUCAUGAUUAUUGUGCUCAAUGUAGGUCAAUCUAACAUGAACAAGCUUAAAACUAAAUCAAAGUAGCAUCCCCUAGUCAUAAUAAUAUAAAAACAAUUUCAAAUAUUAUCAUCGGUCGGCAAGAACUUUUUUUUUUUUUUGGGAACAUUUUGAUUCCUUCCCCCAACCUAAAUGAAACAUUGUCCUCAAUGAAAAGAUUAAAUGUGCAAAAUAUAUGAAGGACAAUAAGGAGCAAAAUUUUGAACAAAGGGACGGGUUUUGAGCUUUACCUGGAAAGUCUGUAUAAACUUGGCCUAAAUGAACCUUCAAUUUCAUUAGUGAAAAAAAAAUGACAAUAAAAGAAAC
rnacentral:lncRNA from 1 species